GAAAUGCGAUAAGUAAUGUGAAUUGCAGAAUUCAGUGAAUCAUCGAAUCUUUGAACGCACCUUGCGCUCCUUGGUAUUCCUUGGAGCAUGCCUGUUUGAGUAUCAUGAAAUCUUCAAAGUAAAUCUUUUGUUAACUCAAUUGGUUUCUACUUUGGUAUUGGAGGUCUUUGCAGCUUCACACCUGCUCCUCUUUGUUCAUUAGCUGGAUCUGAGUGUUAUGCUUGGUUCCACUCGGCGUGAUAAGUUAUCUAUCGCUGAGGACACUGUAAAAGGUGGCCAAGGUAAAUGCAGAUGAACCGCUUCUAAUAGUCCAUUGACUUGGACAAUACUUUUAUGAUCUGAUCUCAAAUCAGGUAGGACUACCCGCUGAACUUAAGC
rnacentral:misc_RNA from 1 species